ensembl:lncRNA
ACAAAUAGCAGUUCUACUAAAGCAAUGUUAUGAGCAGUAGUGGAUUUGUUUAUGAUGUUACGCUCAUGUUACAAAUGUACCAUACCACAUGUAAGUAAUGCUAAUAUUUAACACUGUAUAUAGUCAUUCUGAACUUUAGCAUAGAAGUGGAUAAUACUUAUGAGAGCAAAGCACGAUUAAAACGUUGCUUUUUAAUUAUAUCUAAUUUCAGUCACAGACUCUUUUUUGUUGUUUGUGUGUUUAAAAGUUAGACGCCUUCAAACUGUGAAUACUUCUGUGAGAAGGAUACCUGCUACAUGAUAUUACAUUGUAAAUGAUUUUGGUUACUGUUGCGAAACAGCUACGUAUUGUUCUUGAUCUUAAGAGCUAUAAAAGAAGAGUUCAAGAGAAUAACCACUGUAAGCUUUGAAUCUACCUUCAUGGCUAAACUUGACCAUUGGACCCAAAUACUGAUGGAUGCAGUUUCAUCAAGGGGAGGAGCUAAAGGAGUGAGAGUCAGGCAGGUUCCUGAGCUAUGAUGGCAUUUGAAACAACUUUUCCUAGAUUAUGAAGUGUCUGUGUUUUUCUCAUCCACUUAAUUUAAACUCCACGCACCCAGUCAAAGAAGAAGUCCAGACCACAGAAAGUCAUCACAGAUUCAUUUUGUUAGACAAUAUGCAGUUUGGAAUCAAACCUGUACAAGUGAUACAUUUCCUGGCCUCUGGAGGGCACCAACACCUCAACUAAACAACAGAGGUGGACUUUGAAGUGGUCAUGUAUUUGUUUGCUUGUUUUGCUUGUUUUGUUGGUUAUGAGUCCAGAUUGUAAACCAUGGUUUUUCUCCAUGUACAGCACUUCUGUCUCUCUCCAGCAUAUCUGCCUGCCUGUGUUCCUGUAUUUUAAAAAAACUCAUCCUGCUUUGAGAUGUAUUUAAGAUUUGUAUGUCUCUCCGGCCCAGGAACUAAGGUUCCAAGGAAGUCUGUUCUGUGUCUGUGCACUACCUUCAAUAGAGGUCCUGUUUGAGCACAUUGGCAUGGACCUCAUUGAGCUGUUUCACUGGAGUGCACAAGGUUAUCACAUUGUAUUAGUUUUGGUGGAUUAUGCAACUCAAUAUCCAGAAGCAGAAUGCAGCUAAAAAAGUUACGACUCUGAGUUAAGCAAAAUAAAGUUGAAGGGACUGUAAAUAAGCAUUGAUUGCAGGUGUGCAGUUGGGUCAUUCUACUACAAGAUCAUAGUAGCAUACAGAGCACUGACUGAAAUGAAAUAUUUUGAGAUGAACAAGGUUUUUCAUGUUUUUCUACAUUUAUGCAUAAAUAUUAGGUAAGAUAUAAUCAGAUAUUAACACAUCCUAUAAGUAAAUAAAGAUGUAUUCUGUCAAAUCCCAAGUAUCAUAAUCAGUCCUGAGUCCUUUUUUCCUUCAGCCUACACUGAUAGUGAAUUCAUGCAAUCAAUUCCCUAGAUAUGCCUUCAGUGCAAUCCAGUCUGUUCUUAGCAUUGAUUCUUACUUUUGGAACUGGAUAGCUGAAACAAAUCACUCUGUAACAGAUGGUGAAGGUCAAGGGCCGAGGGUUCUCAUGUGAAAAAAGCUCAGUGAUACUUUUAUAGUUAGCUUAUCGUCUUUUUGGUGAUCUGACAGAGUGUGAGCAGCAGUCCUGACAGAUGCUGGGGGUCGUGGUCUCAUGGCUUUCAGGACAUUGUCUUGAUAAAUUUAAUCUGCACUCAGUAAUAGGCUUCUCUAGACUGCAUUUUGUCUUUGAGUGUUGAACCACACAGUACAUUGAAUUAAUAACUGUGACUGUCUGCAUGUGGAUUGCAGUGCAAAGAGCACUUUUAGUGGUAAAUAAGUUUAAAACAAAAAGAAUGCAAACAUCAUUUCUGAUUUUUUAUUACAUUAUUCAGUUUAAAUCAUUUUAUUGACAUGGCACUAAUUCACAACAAAAGCUCUGUCUUUAUGCAAUAUAAUUAAGAAUCUGGAGGAUGUCUGUGUCCUGAAUAAAACUGUGAGCUGGUUUUAACAGGAGGGGCCUGAAAGCUAAAGGCUCUUCCUCCCAAACUCUAAUAACC